rnacentral:rRNA from 1 species
CACCGCCCGUCACACCAUGGGAGUUUUGCUGCACCAGAAGCAGGUAGCCUAACCGCAAGGGGGGGGCGCUUGCCACGGUGUGGCCGAUGACUGGGGGUG